ACACUCUCUAUGUAAUAAGAGACUUGGCGACCAGUUGGCCGAGUAAUGUAUUUAGAAUAUAGUCCUAAACUUGUACCAAAGGUUGUCGGGUAAGAGCCACCAAUUGGAUUCCUUUUAAAGUCUGCAUGUAGGGCAGGGAAGACGGGGAUUUCCCUUUUUCUACUACGGUUGCACCCGGACCCAUCACUUUGGAAAGGGCCACUAAUUAGAUUACAUCCACCGUCUGUAUACAGAAAGUCAGGCGGCCUUAGUUAUCUUAAUUGGCCAAAUUCUAAAUUUCCCCUUUUCUGUGCAUUUUGUACAGUGGUCGGGUAAGGGCCACUACAGGAGACUUCACCUAUAGUUAGACAUAAUAUAGUUAGGCAUAUGGUUGUAUCUUUCAUUACAAUGUAUAGUGGUCAGGUAAGGACCACAAAUCCCCUCGUUUCACCACAAUAGGGCCUACCUGUCACUGAUUUGACAAAGAAAUCGCUGUUCAUAGUCUUAAUUGACCUAGCUCCGCUAGGGACACUUGUCUCCUUUUUCGUAAGUCCAUUCUCAGUCCCUUGCAGUUAGAUUAUGAGGACAAGCCAGCCCGAGUGUUCCUGUCAGAUGUGGAGGAACCGGAAGCAGGGAGGAGGAACAACUGAUGACCGAUGACCCUUGCAUGCUGAGCUUUCCAUUACAGCUUUCUUGGAGAUGAGGGUCUACAACUUGUGCUGUCAUUUUGGAUGAAAUUUUCAAUCGAUUCCGAAUCCCAAGGAACCGGAAGCAGGGAGGAGGACCGACGGAAGGACUGAUGACCUGCUUGCAGAGCAAGUCUUCACCAAUUCUCGAGAUCCCUCUUGCUUCGUGUAGGCAGCAGAAACGGUGACAACACGUACGGAGUGCAGUUGUUCACUAGGACUGGAAUCAACACGAAUUUUAGCAACACUCCACUAUAAGUUUUACAACCCAUGC